ACUGCGCGUCGCCAUCUCGCCCGACGCCCCAAGGCGGAUGAGAAGAGUCGGGGCUCCACUUGGAGUUUCCGCGAGCUCCGCCCCUGCUCCGCCCUCCGGCCCCCACCCACUCCUCGCCGGUCAGAAGCUGUUAGCUUGAGCCCGCUGGGGUCGCCACCCGUUUUCUCCCGCUCUGAAAAGGAAGAGGGGAGCAGCCUGAGCAAGGGGCACUAGAAGGGAGUGCGGAGCCGAGCUGGCUCCGGGACCCAAAUGGGUUAGUUCUGCGCCCCACUGGUCUGCCCUCCCUCCCCAAGGCUUCUGGGCGUCCGGCUGUUUUGGUUUCUGUUUAAGCCUAGACAGCCUCCCCAAGCCGGCAAUAGUAGCGGGGGCAAGUGCCACGGGAGAGCAGGCUCAGGGACUGGGGCGCAGGGAGCCUUCUGGGGUGGGAAUGAGCAGGCAUGGAAUGUAAGAGACUGGUGAAUGGAGCGAUCGAACCGCACAGGAACGAAGAAGGAAGAAUGAUAGAAAGGAAUUUGUCUCUACAAGGUCCUUAAAUAUUUCAACAGUCAAGAAGUAAACACAUAAUAAAGAAGGGAAGCUUUCCAGCCCCUCUCUGCUUCAUUUCACUUCCCAGACCACGCGAUCUUCAGCUUGCCCAACCAGGAUGACCACAGUGACUUGGCUCUUCACUGUGCCAAGCUGAGACUGGAGCAACAGAUACCUCUCUUGGGCCUUUCAGAGCCACUGCUAUACGCAAAUACAAUAGAAGUGGGAUGCACAGCAUGGAUACGAGUGUCACAAAUCAUUCUCAUGGCUCUGGCUCUGUUCUUAGAUUUCCUCCCACUUUCUCCCUCCCCCUCACCACAUCACCACCGGGAAUUAAACCCAGGGGAACCUCAUCACUGAGCUACUUCCCCAGAACACUCCCCUCCCUUUUAAAAAUUUAAGACAGGGUCUCCCUAAAUUGCCCAGGCUGGUCUCAAACCUGUCAUCCUCCUGCCUCAGUCUCUGGAGCAGCUGGGAUUACAGGUGAAUGACACCCUCCUCCCACCUCUUUGGCUGUUCCUUCUUGGUUGUUUUUGUGCCCCACUUUAAAGGGGACCCUGUUUUGCCCUAUCCACAUCUCCUGCCCUGACCACCUUGCCUGAACCCAACCUCCAGCACCCACACCUGCACAUUUUUCUUUGGGGUUUUUCUCUGCGUCAAUUUUGCCCACUAGCCAAAGGUGCCAAGAACUAAUAUGUCCUGAAAAGUUCUAGACCACAAACUAACAGGUGUUGAAUUAUAAAUACCCUGCCCCUCCCUAGUCUGGGAUGCAUUCUACUCCAUCUCCCAGCAAUCCCCAGCAGGAAUGAACCUGUUUCCCUGCUAAUGAUCACAUUGCACAUUGCUUCCUUCUUCAGUGCUGUUGGUGCCCCACCUAGACCCCUUUCCUGGACUCUUGCACCUACCCCUAUCAGCUAAGUACAGGCUGCUAACAGGUCACCAGGCUCCCUCAUCAGGAGAAUCCUUUGCUGCACAAAGGUCCCUUACCCCAGAACACACACCUGAACAGCCAGCAUGACUGCAGAAUCAUUUCUGCUGCAAAACCCUCCCCAUUAUGGAUCAGGUCAGUUGCAUGCUUUCUGAGCUCCUUUCACUCCCUCCCUGGGUUCCCUCACUCCUGAGAGUGCCACCUAAAGACAUUUUCUCCAGCUUUCCUUCUAAGGACCCCAACCUCAGAUGCUUUCCUUUUCCAUCUUGCUUCCUUACUGAAAGUAACCUUCAGAUACCCGAUCUCUUCUAUAAUGCGUGGCUCAGAGUCUCCCUGGGCACCUCUCUCCCUUACCAUUAAGCACCCAUAGCACAGUCACUGUCUCCCUGCCAAGAAUUUUUAAAUCUGUCUUCAGCCUGGGACUUGCUCCUGAAGCCAGGCCCCAUUUCACAAGGCCCCAGAAUUUCCUGGGAGCACAGAAACACAACCCACCCAGAGCUGAAGUCAGCAUUUUCCUUUGCAGCCUGUACCUCCUCAAUUCUUCUUCACUUCUCUACCCAGGGGUCCAGAAAAACCCUGAGCAUAGUCCUCGAUUCCCCACUAUCCCCAUCUUGCUCACCUCCAAUUUUGGACGGUAAUGAGGAUAACUGACCCCUCUUGGCUUCUUACAAUGGGCAUUUUUUAUUGAUUUUUUUUAAAUAAAUGACAAAGGAAUGCAUUACAAUUCUUAUUACAUGUAUGCAGCACAAUUUUUCAUGUCACAAUGAGCAUUUAUUAUAAAUACCUUGUCAGGAUAAUCAUAUUUUAUCCUGUUCACAACUCAUUGGGUAGAUAAUAUCAUUGUCCACAUUUUUCACAUGAAGAAACAAAGAUUUCUAUCAGUCAAAUAAUUAUUGAAAUUACCUGAGGUCACUGCAAGCCAAGAUUUGAACCCAAACAGUGUGAAUUGACAGCUUGACUCUGGGAUAGCCUGUGUUCCUUAAUUAUCUACUCUCCCUGCCCAUUGCCACACCUUGGAUCAAGCCAAUCUCUUACUUGUGGAGAUUUUUGUAUGUGUGUUUGGUGCUGGGGACUAAACCCAGAUAAGUGCACAAUCUACCACUGAAAUCCCGCCACCAAAUAAAUUUCUUUCCUUUUCUUUCAGUGCUAGGGAUUGAGUCCAGGGCCUCAUGUAUUCUAGGCAAGCACCCUACCAUUGAGGUACAUGCCCAGGCCACAAUUCAAAGUUCUUACCUGGGACCUUGACCCAGGCACUGAAGGCAAGGGAAUGUUUUCCACAGCAGCUUCAGGGGACUGUCCAGUGAUUCCAUUUCACACCACACUGUUCCCUGGCAUGAUUUGACCUUAUGCACAGAUGCCCAGCCUGAUGCAGCUCUGCACCUUUUCUCCAACCUUCCAUCAACCUGGAAAAGUAAAAUGAUACCAUGCAGUAAUCUUCUUUUCUGCAUAAAUUUGCUAGCCUUU